rnacentral:rRNA from 1 species
CGCUACUAAUAAUGCAGUCGACGCUUCUUUCCUCCCGAGUGCUUGCACUCAAUUGGAAAGAGGAGUGGCGGACGGGUGAGUAACACGUGGGUAACCUACCCAUCAGAGGGGGAUAACACUUGGAAACAGGUGCUAAUACCGCAUAACAGUUUAUGCCGCAUGGCAUAAGAGUGAAAGGCGCUUUCGGGUGUCGCUGAUGGAUGGACCCGCGGUGCAUUAGCUAGUUGGUGAGGUAACGGCUCACCAAGGCCACGAUGCAUAGCCGACCUGAGAGGGUGAUCGGCCACACUGGGACUGAGACACGGCCCAGACUCCUACGGGAGGCAGCAGUAGGGAAUCUUCGGCAAUGGACGAAAGUCUGACCGAGCAACGCCGCGUGAGUGAAGAAGGUUUUCGGAUCGUAAAACUCUGUUGUUAGAGAAGAACAAGGACGUUAGUAACUGAACGUCCCCUGACGGUAUCUAACCAGAAAGCCACGGCUAACUACGUGCCAGCAGCCGCGGUAAUACGUAGGUGGCAAGCGUUGUCCGGAUUUAUUGGGCGUAAAGCGAGCGCAGGCGGUUUCUUAAGUCUGAUGUGAAAGCCCCCGGCUCAACCGGGGAGGGUCAUUGGAAACUGGGAGACUUGAGUGCAGAAGAGGAGAGUGGAAUUCCAUGUGUAGCGGUGAAAUGCGUAGAUAUAUGGAGGAACACCAGUGGCGAAGGCGGCUCUCUGGUCUGUAACUGACGCUGAGGCUCGAAAGCGUGGGGAGCAAACAGGAUUAGAUACCCUGGUAGUCCACGCCGUAAACGAUGAGUGCUAAGUGUUGGAGGGUUUCCGCCCUUCAGUGCUGCAGCAAACGCAUUAAGCACUCCGCCUGGGGGAGUACGACCGCAAGGUUGAAACUCAGAGGAAUUGACGGGGGCCCGCACAAGCGGUGGAGCAUGUGGUUUAAUUCGAAUCAACGCGAGAACCUUACCAGGUCUUGACAUCCUUGACUACUCUAGAGAUAGGAGCUUUCCCUUCGGGGACAAGUGACAGUGAUGCAUGGGUGUCGUCAGCUCGUGUCGUGAGAUGUUGGUUUAGUCCCGCAACGAGCGCACCCUAUGUAGUGCAUCAUUAGUGGUACUCUAGCGAGACUGCUGUGACAAGCAGAGAUGUGGGGAUGACGUCAAUCAUCAUGCCGUAUGACUGGCUACCAGGUGCUACAUUGCAGUAAAGGAGUCCAUAGACCGCGAGGUCAUGCAGUCCUAAGCUCCUAAGUUCGGAUGCAGGUGCACGCCUGCCGAACGGAAUCUU